UUUGCGUGGCACAAGAGGAGUCCGGGGGCCAGUUUCCUUCGGUGGCUGUUGGAAGGGGUGAGACGUUACAAGAGAGCCCAAAUGAAAAGCAUCAGUACCAGAGGGCUGAUUUGGAUGGAGCUCUGCAACCCACCAUGCUGUGUGUUCAAACCCUGCUCUUCAAGUUCCUACCAUCCAUCUAUCCACCAUCUGCAGCAGAGCCACCACAAGCCAUAGGAGUACCUCUGAGGUUUUUUGAAGAUACGUAUGCUGAGGUGUAGAAAUAGACAGGCAGGUGCAAAAAGGAAGAGGAUGCUCAUUGACCUGCUGCCAUCGGCCAUCCUUCCAGCCAUCGGUCCCCUGCCACCUGAAGCUGAAUUUCUUGCCAGGCAUGUGGUAUUUCCAGCCCUACUUUGUUGACUAAAGCAA